UUCACCGGCGGGCAAAAUGUCACAUUGAUCGAUGAAUCGAUCGACGAUCGAUCAUCGGUGACAGAUCGCGAAACGUCACUCUUCGGGAAUGAUCGUACGUCACAACAUAUCGGCAUGAUCAAUGUUUAUGUUUACAGUGAUCAUGGCGAUAUGGUGAACGAACGUUGGCUGAUUUUCAUUGAAAAUGGGCCAAAUUUUCAAUGAAAAAAUAGGGUGUGUUGGUGUCGAAAGAGGGGUGAAAAUCCUCCCACAACGGAAGAUUGUUUUGCUGCUAGGUCAAUAUCUUCUCGGGGAAGAUUUGCCUGCAGAAAACCCUCAGAAUUAUCGGGACCUCCAUGCGAGCCAUCUUGCAUGAAGCAAGAUGCACUGCAGACGAUACCACCAUUAACUUCUCACCUGUCGUAGGAACUUCGGCGGUGGAAUUUGGGUGGGAUUAGCGUACUGAGCUCCGAGGACCUAAUCGGAUGACUCCUCGCCAGCUCAUACAUCCCGCUCCCGGUUUCCUGCUUCGUCCACUACUUGGCUGGAAGUGAAGUGCAUGGUAUAUAUUUGCGAGAAAGAAAAUAAAGGCAAUUCACUAGUUUAAGCGCCGCAAGACUGCUUUGGUCUGGGCAAAAUCGUGCAAUAGAAUUUGUUAAAGAAUUUUCCAAUUUGUCUCUGUCAAUUAGUGACAGGUAAGUAUAAGUGUGCUGCAUUUUUCUUAAAUUAUAAAAUAUCACAGGUAAGUAUGGUUUUUGGUAAGUAUUAUCACAGGUUUGUAUAGUAAGUAUAAUAACAUUAUGAUUUUAAAAAGUUUGUCAAGUUUUUGACGAACACAAACAAAUUAAAAUUUUGAACCGAGAAGAUUUCGGUAUAGUCCUCUCGUUCAGCACCUCUAUUUUUUUUUUAAAUGGAAACCGUUCCUACUUUUACAAAUUCUUAUCGGGUUCGCUUCAAGUGUGCAGUUUUAGGCAUUCGUGCUAAGCACGGAUCCCUGCCACGUCCCGUUGGAAAAUCCUUAGGUUUUCAUACUAACCGAUCCUCCGAUUACCUUUCACGAAAUUUACGCUGGGGGCGCCAAUUGUAACUACGGAGACUUAUGGGGCUGCUCCGCAGCCACAGUGGCUCCCAAUUACUCCCGGUUUCAAGCUCAGUAGCAUGAGACCCCUCGAGCUGGGUCUCAGGGCCGGCAUGCUACUCGGUAAUCGGAGGGGCUUCGCGGACCAAAGUAUGAAAAACAGGAAAUUUCACAUUUCUAAACAAUUUAUUGGUUCCUAGGGUGUCGUGUGGGUGUUGUUCUGGAUUAUAAAGUGUAAAUUUGUUAAGUGUGGCCUAAUCUAAUUCGUACCGGUACAUACCUCUGCCUUGGGUGGUUGUGGGUGCGAUGGCCGACACAGUGUCUUGGAUCCUACUGUGCGGCCGGAACUCUCGCCGGAAUGGCGAACGAUGGCGGAUUUUCGUCCCGGUACUUGGCCGACGGGACCAGCGGGCAUUGCUGGGCGGUGUUCGGGUGGCAGGCGUCUUCCUUCUUUGGCGGUAUCGGCACGGCCCAGGACGAGACCGGAACGACCGUGCCGAGAAGGGUCCCUCCUUGGCGAUUAAGGCCAACGGCCUGAGGGAAUCGUCCUGAAUGGGACGAUGGCGGUUCUUUUGCGAUUAGGCUCGGAAGCCAUCUUGGCUUCCGAGCCGCCGUGUGUGACCGUUCUUAACAACGG